UUCGUAGGCGGCAUAUCAAGUCUGGUGUUAAAGCCUGGGGCUCAACCCCAGUUCGGCACUGGAUACUGGUAAGCUAGAAUGAGGUAGAGGUAAUGGGAAUUCCUGGUGUAGCGGUGAAAUGCGUAGAUAUCAGGAGGAACACCGGUGGCGUAAGCGCAUUACUGGGCCUUUAUUGACGCUGAGGAACGAAAGCCGGGGGAGCAAAUGGGAUUAGAUACCCCAGUAGUCCCGGCCGUAAACGAUGGAUACUAGGUGUUGCGGGUAUCGACCCCUGCAGUGCCGUAGCUAACGCGAUAAGUAUCCCGCCUGGGGAGUACGCACGCAAGUGUGAA
rnacentral:rRNA from 1 species